AACGAACGCUGGCGGCGCGUCUUAAGCAUGCAAGUCGAACGGUAAGGGAGAGCUUGCUCUCCCCUAGAGUGGCGGACUGGUGAGUAACGCGUGGGUGACCUGCCCUGAAGAUGGGGAUAGCUAGUAGAAAUAUUAGAUAAUACCGAAUGUGCUCAUUUACAUAAAGGUAAAUGAGGAAAGGAGCUACGGCUCCGCUUUAGGAUGGGCCCGCGUCCCAUUAGCUGGUUGGUGAGGUAAAGGCUCACCAAGGCAACGAUGGGUAUCCGGCCUGAGAGGGUGAACGGACACAUUGGGACUGAGAUACGGCCCAAACUCCUACGGGAGGCAGCAGCUAAGAAUCUUCCGCAAUGGACGAAAGUCUGACGGAGCGACGCCGUGUGAAUGAAGAAGGCCGAAAGGUUGUAAAAUUCUUUUGCAGAUGAAGAAUAAACAUAGGAGGGAAUGCCUGUGAGAUGACGGUAAUCAUGCGAAUAAGCCCCGGCUAAUUACGUGC
rnacentral:rRNA from 1 species